GUCUGGUUUCAAGAUUAGCCCCCGUUUUGUUGUCAGGUUUUACCUCUCAACGUGCGGGGGUUUUCUCU
rnacentral:antisense_RNA from 13 species